rnacentral:other from 1 species
GGUCUCUCGCAGCAAUCAACUUAUCAAGUACUUUUGUUUAAAUAAUGAAAUUCUCAAUAAUAGGGAUCUG